CGGCAGCACGGGGGUAACCCUGGUGGCGAGUGGCGAACGGGUGAGUAAUACAUCGGAACGUGUCCUGUAGUGGGGGAUAGCCCGGCGAAAGCCGGAUUAAUACCGCAUACGCUCUACGGAGGAAAGGGGGGGAUCUUAGGACCUCCCGCUACAGGGGCGGCCGAUGGCAGAUUAGCUAGUUGGUGGGGUAAAGGCCUACCAAGGCGACGAUCUGUAGCUGGUCUGAGAGGACGACCAGCCACACUGGGACUGAGACACGGCCCAGACUCCUACGGGAGGCAGCAGUGGGGAAUUUUGGACAAUGGGGGAAACCCUGAUCCAGCAAUGCCGCGUGUGUGAAGAAGGCCUUCGGGUUGUAAAGCACUUUUGUCCGGAAAGAAAACCUCUGUCCUAAUACGGUGGGGGGAUGACGGUACCGGAAGAAUAAGCACCGGCUAACUACGUGCCAGCAGCCGCGGUAAUACGUAGGGUGCAAGCGUUAAUCGGAAUUACUGGGCGUAAAGCGUGCGCAGGCGGUUCGCUAAGACAGAUGUGAAAUCCCCGGGCUUAACCU
rnacentral:rRNA from 1 species